UCUUCCCUCUUUCCUCGUGCUUCCCCCCUGCACGUCGACCGCUGAAGCUCAGCUUGCUGGGUGGAUUAGUGGCGAACGGGUGAGUAACACGUGAGUAACCUGCCCUUAACUCUGGGAUAAGCCUGGGAAACUAGGUCUAAUACCGGAUAGGAGCGCCUACCGCAUGGUGGGUGUUGGAAAGAUUUAUCGGUUUUGGAUGGACUCGCGGCCUAUCAGCUUGUUGGUGAGGUAAUGGCUCACCAAGGCGACGACGGGUAGCCGGCCUGAGAGGGUGACCGGCCACACUGGGACUGAGACACGGCCCAGACUCCUACGGGAGGCAGCAGUGGGGAAUAUUGCACAAUGGGCGAAAGCCUGAUGCAGCGACGCCGCGUGAGGGAUGACGGCCGUCGGGUUGUAAACCUCUUUCAGUAGGGAAGAAGCGAAAGUGACGGUACCUGCAGAAGAAGCACCGGCUAACUACGUG
rnacentral:rRNA from 1 species